UAAUUUGUUUGUUGUAGAUACUUGUCUAAUUAUAACAGAUGGAUACUUAAUUAUUUAAAAUCACUCGGUAUUGCAAGUCUAAUAAUUACUUCACUUUUUCAGUCGUUUAAUUU
rfam:Populus trichocarpa isolate Nisqually-1 chromosome 2, whole genome shotgun sequence.